UCAAAAUCUAAACGAAUCGAAAGUAAGAAUUUAUAUGGCCGAUUCCAAAUAAAUUUGGGAUUAAUUCGAUGUUGAUGUUGAUAAUUGGAUAGGCAUAAUGUUCUUUCCAUAGAACAGGGGAACAUAAUAUCGUACAAGAUUCGGAGUUUAUGAAUGUGAAUACGAAUUCGUACCAAACAAAACAAAACCAUAUCAGGAGGUCAAGCAAACUUGAACAAGAAUUGCUCUAUCCUUCACACCCAAAUAUUGAUAUGUAAACACUGAUAUUACAUAUUAAUAAAGUGAUAUUUGUUUGUAGAAGAUUGUGGUAGGAAUAAUAUAUAUGACCGUUCAUAUAUUCAUAUAUAUAUAUAUAUAAUCAAAUCCUAUUUAACUGUCCGAUGUUAGAUAUGAGUUGAGAUUUUCGAAAUUUCAAGAUUCGAGGUUAGACAUUUAGGAGACUCUUGUGUUCUUAAAUUAAUCCUUCGGGUCUUAUUAGGUUGUAACGCUCAAACUCUCAUUGGGAAUUUCAUCUGCUGGUUUGAUUCCGAUGUAAUAAAACUACUCAUAUGCAUUUUUGGUAUAGUGCCAUUACAUAUAUAUAGUAUUGUAAAAUGGGUUUGUACAAGAUUCAUACACUCUAUACUAUUCGUAUAGUGUCGUGAUUCUCAUUGACUCAGCGAAUGAAAAUGUGUUGGAAGAACGCAGGAAGUCAUGAGUUAAAUUAAUACGAACAGGAACAUCGCAAAGUGCGUGUAUAUACAAAAGUGGAGUUAAUGUGCUCUAAUUCUUAACUUAAAUUCCUCAAGUUUUGUCAUAUAUAUAUAUGUAUGCAUGUAUGUAUGCAUGUAUGCAUGCAUGUAUGUAUGUAUGUAUAUUGCAGGUGCAGAUGAGGGAAAUGAGUCCAGAAACAUUUCUAUGGCAGUAGAAUAAGGUAUGAAUGCUGUGAAAACAAUGGGAUUAAAGACCGAUCAUGAUUUCCUAUGUUCGUGUGGAAGCUUCUUUACUCGGAUUUACAAUCACUACAUUGAAAAUCACUUUCAUUUUUACAGGGAAAAAGUGAGGUCUAGGGUCCUAUCCAAUUGACACUUCACGUGGGCUUUGGUCGUUGCUUGAUAGCAACCCUAACUCUCAAUAGCAUACGAGAAUAUUAUGAUAUGGGUCAGAUAAUAUGAAAAUUAUUGAUGAUCUAUCAAAAGAUCUCAAUAAUUUUUCUAAAAUUUGAGUUGAUUUCCUUAGGGUUUCCAUCUUUUAAUUCCAUGCUUUAUUUUUUAUUUUUGCUAGCUCGCGUGAUGUGGAUGCAUCUCUUGCACAUACAUACGCCGAUUUUAAUUAGAUUUUUUUUCUUGUAAUUGUAUACCUAAAUAGCUUUUGGGAUAUUAUGUUGAGGGAGACAUCGCCUCGUCUUCUAA